AACUGCAAGGAACUGGAUUAUGCAAACAAUCAUAUGAGCUCGAAAGUGAAUUCUUCCCAGACCCUUCCAAUAAGAGCCCAGCUGAAAUCAAGACAGCUUGAUUUCAGCUUUGUAAAACUCAGAGCAGAGAAACAAGCUGAGCCCACCUGGACUUCUGACCCACAGAACUAGUAAGAAGGAGUCCACAAGCCGAGGCUGGACCAAUUGUUGGAAGUCAGAGUCCUGGAGGCCUUCAGGACAGACCCCAGCCAAUCUACGCAGAGCAGCCUGGGGAGAAGACAGAAGAUGUGACACAUGUCAGACUGGGCCAUGUCAGGGAAUGGCAAGAAGUUGGAGGGCUAUUUCCCACCAAAGAACAGAAGUAUGGCUUCCUGCCUGGAAUAUAUCUGCUGAAUCUCAGAGUGGACUCUACAAUGCAUCUUCAUCAGGAUGAAAUAAAUGGAAGACUCCUUGGCUCCAGGGAGAAACUCAGCCUGGGAAGUGAAGCAAGAAUGAAUAUAUGACAAUAGUGAAAGGUCACUUGGACUAUAUGUACUUUGUUUAUUUGAUAAUGUUUAUACAUUGAGAAAUUUUCUAUAAAAUUUACAAAUUUUGUCU